UGCCCNCUGAUAAAUAAUUAAAGGGCUGCAGUAAUUUGACUGUACAAAGGUAGCAUAAUCAUUAGUCAUUUAAUUGAUGACUUGUAUGAAAGAUUGGAUGAAAUAUAAACUGUCUUAAAAGUAAGGAUAGAAAUUAAUUUUUAAAUUAAAAAGUUUAAAUAAAAUAAAAAGACGAGAAGACCCUAUAGAGUUUUAUUAUUUUAUAAAUUAAUAUUAUUUAUAUAAUAAAAAGUUUAUAUUUAAAUUUUUGAAAUAAUUUUAUUGGGGUGAUAAAAAAAUUUAAUAAACUUUUUUUUAUAAAAACAUUAAUAAAUGAUUAAAUGAUCCAAUUUUAUUGAUUAUAAGAUUAAAUUACCUUAGGGAUAACAGCGUAAUUUUUUUUUUUAGUUCAAAUAAAAAAAAAAGUUUGCGACCUCGAUGUUGGAUUAAGAUAAAAUUUAAAUGUAGAAGUUUAAAAUUUUUGA
rnacentral:rRNA from 1 species